UACGUAGGGGGCAAGCGUUAUCCGGAUUCACUGGGUGUAAAGGGAGCGUAGACGGCGACGCAAGUCUGGAGUGAAAGCCCGGGGCCCAACCCCGGGACUGCUCUGGAAACUGCGGCGCUGGAGUACGGGAGGGGCAGGCGGAAUUCCUAGUGUAGCGGUGAAAUGCGUAGAUAUUAGGAAGAACACCAGUGGCGAAGGCGGCUUUCUGAACUGAAACUGACGCUGAGGCACGAAAGCGUGGGGAGCGAACAGG
rnacentral:rRNA from 1 species